CCAUCAUCUCAAAUAACCUGUCUACAUCCUCCCGAAGUGAAUUAUCCCGGGCCGCUCGGUUUAGUGGGGGUCUUCCUCUCCUCAUCUCUCUGCACCUGUAUUUCAUAAGAAAUGGUUGAGUAACGAUUUAUCGGUGAGUAUUUCCCUAAGCAUUAUUGUGUAAGGGAUGGGUCCGAUGAACGCAUCUCUAAUACCAACUGU
rnacentral:lncRNA from 1 species